AAAAGGCUUUGUCAAGUGCCUCGCUGAGACUUGUUUGCCAAAUUUUGAGAUAACUUCGUGUGAAGCAUGAUCAAUCUUCUGUGCUUUUUGCAGCUCAGAGUUUGUGGAUGAAAAGAAAAAAGGAGAGGAAAUGGCCUUGUUUCUUGUCUUUAGAGCUGAACAUAAGCAGAUCUGACUAUAAUGGUUGACUUCUCCACCGAACAAGGCCAGACAUCCCUAUUGUUCAAGGUACCAGGCUCUUGGAGCCUUACAUUCUUCAGUGUUAGAAGAGUCUCACCCAGGCUGAGUGCGGAGGUACAAUCAUGGAUCACUGC